AUUGAACGCUGGCGGCAUGCCUUACACAUGCAAGUCGAACGGCAGCGCGGGAGCAAUCCUGGCGGCGAGUGGCGAACGGGUGAGUAAUAUAUCGGAACGUGCCCAUUAGUGGGGGAUAGCCCGGCGAAAGCCGGAUUAAUACCGCAUACGACCUGAGGGUGAAAGCGGGGGAUCGCAAGACCUCGCGCUAUUGGAGCGGCCGAUAUCAGAUUAGCUAGUUGGUGGGGUAAAGGCCUACCAAGGCAACGAUCUGUAGUUGGUCUGAGAGGACGACCAGCCACACUGGGACUGAGACACGGCCCAGGCUCCUACGGGAGGCAGCAGUGGGGAAUUUUGGACAAUGGGCGCAAGCCUGAUCCAGCAAUGCCGCGUGCAGGAAGAAGGCCUUCGGGUUGUAAACUGCUUUUGUCAGGGAAGAAAUCCUUUGGGCUAAUACCUCGGAGGGAUGACGGUACCUGAAGAAUAAGCACCGGCUAACUACGUGCCAGCAGCCGCGGUAA
rnacentral:rRNA from 1 species